rnacentral:ncRNA from 2 species
UAAGGGGCCUAUGCGACAGGUUCCCGGAGAUGGGAAUAAUAGGGAAUGCGGAAACGGGGAAACGUCCCCGUCAUCCGCAGCUGUCCCCGCAACUGUGACCGGACAGCGGUCGCUCCAUUAUGCCACUGGCCUUGGCCGGGAAGGCGGAGCGAAUGCGACGACCCGGGAGCCAGGAGACCUGCCUGUCGCGGUCGGUCCUU